AACCUUGGGGAGCUUUGGGAUGGGUUACAAAAACUUGGCCAGCAUAUACCUGAUGCUGAUUUGUAAAUCCAUAUAGAAGCAGCCCUGGCAAGCUGAGAAGUUGGCUGAACCCCACAUGGAAACUAUUAAGACUGGUUAUCCUUUUAUGUGUGCUUCAACAUGUUCAAAUGUUCCAAGGCUGAGCAGUGAGCGCGUUAAUUUAAUUAAAGGCUGAGGCUACAAGAGCGAGAACAAAUUGCAGAAAAGAG